CAUUAUAUGAUGAUACAUAUACCGCCCCAGUCUGAAAGUCUGAUGAUGGUUAUCUCUGAAAGAAA